rnacentral:rRNA from 1 species
GUCAAGUCAUCAUGGCCUUUAUGCCCAGGGCUACACACGUGCUACAAUGGGGAGGACAAAGGGACGCCACCUGGUGACAGGGAGCAAAUCUCAAAAACCUCUUCUCAGUUCAGAUUGUAGUCUGCAACUCGACUACAUGAAGCUGGAAUCGCUAGUAAUCGCGCAUCAGCAAUGGCGCGGUGAAUACGUUCCCGGACCUU